ensembl:lncRNA
GGGCAGCAACAAAUACAUUCAUCAUGGGUGGUUCUCUGUGCUUCUGCUAACAAGAAGUCAAAGCACUUCCUUAUACUCUCUCUUUGCUGAGAUGGAGGCACUAUGUUUGAUUCUUCUAUGCUGCUUCCUGAUACAAUGCUACGGUAGGAGAUUUUUCUUUUACUAAUGAUGUUCAAUUUAUUCUAAAUGUGGAUAUAAAAGUUCCUUGCUCAAUGACAGUACGGAAUAAUAGUAGUUUUAAAUGAUGUGCUAACAGUAUAGGGUUGCAGUACAAAUGUAACCAUGAAUCAAUAACUGUGUUCUUUUUUCUUGAAGGGUCCACUCACUUUCAUUACCUAAAGAAAGGGGAGGAGGUAACACUGUCCUGUGAAACAUGUCAAUGGGAGGCCGAUGUAAAUUCAGACAACAUAGUGGACUGCGGUGUCAUAGACAGUAUUUAUACAACAAACUCAAAAUGCAAAGCUCAAAGACAGGAUCUAUGCCAAGAGAUAAAGAAAAACAAAUCCACCAGUUGUGAAAUCUGUGUAAUGAGGGGAUUCUUUGCCUGUGUCAAUGCUGAAUCUGACUCCUGCUUCAUGCAUCCAUUUAAACCCUCUUCUCAUCAUGUGGAGUCCUUCAUUGUUGCUCAGGCAGAACCAGACAUUGUGUCUGGACCUGUAAUGGAAAACUCAGUGCUUGUGUCUGGAGGAGAAUCAAUUAAUCUGACGUGUGAUUUAAAAACAAAGGGGUAUUAUCCCAAUAAUCCUUUUGUGGUGUACUGGAUCAAGACUGGUGCUCACAGCAGCACAUGAGAUCACACACAUCAAAACCCUCCCUUGAUGAUAACAACAUCCAUAACCUGAAGAUCAGCAAAGCCACUCAGUCAGACCGUGGACAGUAUCUGUGUGUCUUACAGGUGAACACAUAUAGUUAUAACCAGCAUGCUUGGGCAGUAAUAACCAACACCACAGUCAUUGUGGGUAAUCCUG